GACGAACGCUGGCGGCGUGCUUAACACAUGCAAGUCGAACGGAAAGGCCCUGCUUGCCGGGUGCUCGAGUGGCGAACGGGUGAGUAACACGUGGGUGAUCUGCCCCUUACUUUGGGAUAAGCCUGGGAAACUGGGUCUAAUACUGGAUAGGACCAUGCUGUAGGUGGUGUGGUGGAAAGAUUAGUUUCGGUAAGGGAUGAGCUCGCGGCCUAUCAGCUUGUUGGUGGGGUAAUGGCCUACCAAGGCGUCGACGGGUAGCCGGCCUGAGAGGGUGGACGGCCACAUUGGGACUGAGAUACGGCCCAGACUCCUACGGGAGGCAGCAGUGGGGAAUAUUGCACAAUGGGCGCAAGCCUGAUGCAGCGACGCCGCGUGGGGGAUGACGGCCUUCGGGUUGUAAACGCCUUUCAGCCAUGACGAAGCCUUCGGGUGACGGUAGUGGUAGAAGAAGCACCGGCUAACUACGU
rnacentral:rRNA from 1 species